UGGGGAAUUUUGCACAAUGGGGGAAACCCUGAUGCAGCGACGCCGCGUGAUUUAGAAGGCCUUCGGGUUGUAAAAAUCUUUUCUAUGGGAAGAAAAUGACAGUACCAUAGGAAUAAGGACCGGCUAAUUACGUGCCAGCAGCCGCGGUAAUACGUAAGGUCCGAGCGUUGUCCGGAAUCAUUGGGCGUAAAGGGUACGUAGGCGGGUAAGCAAGUUAGAAGUGAAAUCCUAUAGCUCAACUAUAGUAAGCUUUUAAAACUGCUCAUCUUGAGGUAUGGAAGGGAAAGUGGAAUUCCUAGUGUAGCGGUGAAAUGCGCAGAUAUUAGGAGGAAUACCGGUGGCGAAGGCGACUUUCUGGCCGUAACCUGACGCUGAGGUACGAAAGCGUGGGUAGCAAACAGG
rnacentral:rRNA from 1 species